GGGUUUUUUUUUGUUGCUUUUCUUUAUGUUGAGUUACUAUGCAAAUUAGAAUAAUUAAUAUUUCCUGAAGUAAUGGCAUCUCACAUGGUGUAUACAAAAAUAGGCGUUAAAAGAGAUGAAGAUUUCACUAAGGAAAAAUAUAACAGCUUUUGAGAAAAACAUUGUGUCUAAGUAAUUCCUUCUCCCCUUGUAGAAUGUUAAUACACCAAUAUUAUUUAACAACUGCUUAGUUUGUUUUAUAUAUUUCUGUACUGUCGGUUCUGGUGUAUGGGACCACAUCAGGCUCUGAUAGUUUAAAAAGUUAGCAUACGUGUCCUGUGUUACAAGAUGGGAUUGGUGCUUUGGGAUUUAGUCAGAAAAAGCGGCUAGUUCCAUUAACCAAAAGCAAAUAAAUAGUUGAGUAUAGUUAAUAUUCAUUGUUAACUAUAACCUGUUUUUUUGAAAUACUGGACAGCUGUUGUUGUUGUUUUAUCCCUUACAGUCUUCAAACGUAUACUUUACAAUUGUUUUUCUUUUCAUAUUUAAGUCAAUUGUUUUCUAGAUACUCAAGCUGUAUUAUUGACUUUAUAAAACUUAUCAUUGUAUAGACAUUUUUACAUUCAUUUCACAAAGAAUUAUAGAUUGUUUACUACUGUACAAUUUUUUUUCAAUGUGAAGGUUUUACUUGGCUUUGGAUCUGAAGAUUCUACUUAUAAAUCUUACUGGUAUUUUGUGCAAGCAGGGGUGUUUCCAUAGGCUUGAGAAAUAAUUCCCACAUGUUCAGGGUGUAUUUGAUUAUGACUGUUGUUCCCAAAUGCUUGAAGUCAUGACUGCUGUGAGGUGAGCAGGAUCCACAUUGGAAAAAUAAAAUGGCAUUGUAGAGGUCAGACAGAUUUAAGGAUUUGUAGAAGAGGUUAAUGGGGGUGGAGCAUUGCUCUUGUCACAUGACUUCCUUGUAAAACUGUAGGCCAGAUUCUAAAGAUCUCAUCACUUACCUGUCUUGACAGAAUGCUUUUCAUUUGGAAUGUACAUUGAAAAGUUGCUGUAAUGAUCACUUUUUAAAAUUGUUUUUUUUUUCUUUACAUUUAUUUUAUUAAUUGCUAUGUAAUGUUUACUGCUAAUUGUUAUUGUUUUAGGUGAUAGACUUUGUAAUAUUUACAUGUUUUUAUUUAAAAAGAUAAAAGGCUGUAAUCGGUUUUCUUCUGAGACAUAGACAAAGACAUACACCUAAUGUUUAAUAAAUCGGUUUGGGAGAGUUCGUAUAACUCAAGUUUUAAUUUUGUUCUCAACAGAAGUCAAUUUAUUCGACAUUCUGUUUAUCAUGAUAUGAGUGGUAGCCAUGGUGUGCACCAUCUUUUUUUUUGUUCUUCAGCUGAGUCCCAUACCUUGUUGUGGGCAUAAGGAAGACCAUUAACAGGGCAUUAUUGUAGAGUGUGUCUUAGCAGUAACAGAUUUAACCAAGUCUAUCAAAUGCAGACUCUUCAAUUUGUCUCUUAUAGGCCACAGUGGUGCUUCUUAGAUGAAAAAUGGCAAACUUUCUCUGGUGUCAUAUUGUAUGUCUUCAUUCUAAUGGUAUUGGCGUGCGUGCGUGCGUGUGUGUGUGUGCUAAAGCAACCUUUUUUCAUACACAAAGGAGAACUGCUAGUCUCUUCCUUUGCCAGUAUAUUAGCCACAUCUUUUCAUGGUAAUCACAACAAAUUUCUAAUUAAGGUUAACUCUUUCUCUCCGUCAUUAUUUUCCACGUUUCAACAGAAUUCUUCCUAUUGCUGAGCCAGUAUUUCACUACUCUUUUUCAAUUAAGCUCUAAAAACCUUUUCAUUUGUUAUCAGAAAAAUGUUUUAGUUGGGAUAGAGUUAAAGGGGACUGCAUGCACUUUUUAAAUAAGACUAAAGUAAAGAUUAUAAUUGCUGAGCAGUAUUUCACUACUCUUUUUUAAUUAAGCUCUAAAAACCUUUUUGUUUGUUAUCAGAAAAAUGUUUUAGUUGGUAUAGAGUUAAUGGGGACUGCAUGCACUUUUUAAAUAAGACUAAAGUAAAGUUUAUAAAAUCAAACAUUAAUUUAAUUUAAUGAGUUCAAAUCAACGAUGGUAUCGUCAGUUAGGAGAGAAAGAGUUAAUAAAGAAGUCUUAGUUUUUUACAUAGGCUAGCAUGUACUGAAGCAGUACCAGAUUGCUGGGACUGGGCUUGUCUUCCAGGUCACACUGUUAGCUGAGCGGUGUAUAAUAUUUAUUCCUGGAAGAAGUUGUUAUAAAUCUUGAGUCGAAAUUUUCAGUGAAUUGUUGAUGAUGAGUCGGGUGGUGAGCCCAAAGUGGGCCAAAGAGCUGAAGGAAGUUAAAGCAUUUCCAGAAAAAAAAAAUGUUUAUAUAAAAUCUGUGUUGAUUAAAAUUACUGGAGGAGAAAAAUCUUUUUGACUCGCACAAUAAACUUUCAGACAAUAAUUAUUUUUUACAUUUUUUUUUUGUCUGCAGAUGAAUCAGAUUAUCUCAUUAUUAUUGUCCAGUUCAGUGUUUCCCAAACUUUUUUCAUUAAUGGGACACUUAGUACAUUCUGAGUACAGGUAUGGAUGGCUGCCUGGUCGUGCGGUUUGCGCGCUGGACUGUCGUUCGAAUUUAUCGAUGGUCGAGGGUUCAGAUCCUGCCCGCUCCCAUCCCCCGUUGUCCUGCGGGAGGUUUGGACUAGGAAGUAAACUAUCUUCAACUCUGAAGGAACAUCCGAAACAUGUAAAACAAAUAAAACAGGUAUUGAGCGGAAAACUUUGCUUAUUUUUUUAAGAGAUAAAUUCCUGUGUAGGCCUACUAGUUGAUUAUUCCUGUAGUUCGUGGAACACCAACGCAGGCCUCAUGGAUCACUAAGUGUUCUGCAGAACACAGUUUGGGAAACACUGGUCUAAUUACAGAGUAAAUAAGGGCGGGCCUUUUUAAUCCUAUUCUAAAGUGGGCCUUUUAGUCCUAUUCUAAAGUGGGCCUUUUAGUCCUAUUCUAAAGUGGGCCUUUUUAAUCCAAUUCUAAAGUGGGCCUUUUAGUCCUAUUCUAAAGUGGGCCUUUUAGUCCUAUUCUAAAGUGGGCCUUGUAGUCUUAGUUCAGGUUAAAAAGAAAAUGUAAUAGUGAAUUUGGUCUGUAUUAAGGGCAAAAGGUCCACAUGGAGUAGCACAAUGUUGUUGUUUUGAUUAUUUUGUUAUUAUUUACUUAGAAAAUGAAUUCAUUGUUUGUUGUUUUUUUUUUGUUAUUCCCAUUGACACAUAGGCAAGCAGUGUUUUUUGUAGGCACACAUGUUGGCUUCAUUCUAUGUGCAGCAUUAUUCAAACAAAAUGGCUGUCUUUUAUGGACUUAAUUCUGCUAAAAAUAUUUUGUUUCUUGUUUUUGUAUGCCAGACAAGGUUUUCAAUUGGUUCUACUUUUUUUUUAUUUUUUAAAGGAUUUAGAUUUACAUAGUUUUGUUUGCCCUUACAGAUUAUGGGCCUUUGGUACAUAUCUUGGACCCUUAUAGUCUUUAGCCCUAGACUAGAAAUACUUUAUCUUUUUACACCGAAAUUUUCAAUCUACAAAUGUAAGAAUGUAUUUAUCGUGAUCGCACUUUCUUUUCUAUUUCUUUUGUGUGGUUUCACCAAAACUACAUAGUAUGUAUCUAAACCACAAGAGUCCAAAUUAACAAAACUUAGGGGGAAGUAAUUUACAAACAUUUAUUUUGCCUUUUUCUCGCUAUUGAUUAAAAGACAGAAAUGGGUAAAUUACCUCCCAUUACUUAAUACUUAGAUGAUGCAUUUGCUAACCUGUGUACUAAAUAUUUAGCAGUUUCAAUAUGUGACGUUUUAGUUAAUUGACAGUAUUGCAGUUGUCGUUUAUGUCUAUAUAUAUAUUUAUAUUUUUUUUCUUUAUUUAUUUGUACUUAUUUUGGUAAACAAAAUUUGACUAAAAUGGCAUUCUCUUUUCUUUUUUAACAUGUGACAAAGUCAGAGGGCUACCAGUUUUCUGAUGUGUGAUUUUAUUAUUAUACAAUUAUUAUUUUCCAAAGUACUAGGCCUGUACGCUACAAAUGAUAUUUUUUGUCAGAGCUAUUUCCCUUAUUUAUUGUACACUCACACAAUGAUAAAACAAAACUUUUCUCAAUACAACUAAUUUUAUAGAUCUAGAUCUACAUGAUAUAUAGGUCAGUGUAUUUGUUACAUGUGUUGAUCUUCCGGUCUGGAUAUUUUGUUCAUGUGUGUUCAGUUGAACAAAUGGUGUUAUGAUUUAAUAAACAAAUUGAAAACAUGUAA